AUUGAACGCUGGCGGCAUGCUUUACACAUGCAAGUCGAACGGUAACAGGCCGCAAGGUGCUGACGAGUGGCGAACGGGUGAGUAAUGCAUCGGAACGUGCCCAGUCGUGGGGGAUAACGCAGCGAAAGCUGCGCUAAUACCGCAUACGAGCUAUGGAUGAAAGCGGGGGACAGUAAGGCCUCGCGCGAUUGGAGCGGCCGAUGUCAGAUUAGGUAGUUGGUGGGGUAAAGGCUCACCAAGCCAACGAUCUGUAGCUGGUCUGAGAGGACGACCAGCCACACUGGGACUGAGACACGGCCCAGACUCCUACGGGAGGCAGCAGUGGGGAAUUUUGGACAAUGGGCGCAAGCCUGAUCCAGCAAUGCCGCGUGCAGGAAGAAGGCCUUCGGGUUGUAAACUGCUUUUGUACGGAACGAAACGGCUCUCUCUAAUACAGGGGGCUAAUGACGGUACCGUAAGAAUAAGCACCGGCUAACUACGUGCCAGCCGCCGCCGUAAGAC
rnacentral:rRNA from 1 species